UUGGCACCGGCUGUUCGCUCGGCGAAAAACAUUCAAUUAGUUUGAUUUACACUUUUCAAAAACGUUGGCUGGAUGGAUGGAUGCCGAUGACGAUGCCAUUGCCGGUGGGCGUCUUGUUGCCAAAAGCCGCCUGUGUGCUUGUGCUCCGGCUCCCUUUGUGCGACUGUUGGCGUUUCCGUUUCCGCUGUUUAACAAGCGACUUUUGGCAACAACAGCACAAACAACUCGGGUGGUAGGAGGAGCAAAAGGCAGGAGGAUCAGAUCAGGAGCAGUGCCAAUACCGUGUACCCUCUUGCGUGCCAAAAAAAACCAGGGGUUCAGCCCGAGCUCCAGCUGGAGCUUUCCAUUUCCAUUGCCAUCCAGUUUUCCGCCGGCCGUGGAGCGGAAACAGUUUUCAGGGGACCCCUCCUCGUCCUCAUCCUCUUCCUCCUCCAAUAUUAGUUUGGGGCGGCAGCAAAACGCUUCCGGCAGCCAAAAUGCCAUGAGUAGUUGCUGUUGUUGCCGGCCAGGGCCAUUCGAUGAUUUUUCAAUUUGCAUUUGACACACAGAGGCAAUGUCAAAGAGCAAAUUGAAAUGGCACAAGUCUGCUGGAACUUAUAAUCAUAUGCAGCGCACAGCCUUGAGAGUUCCGUCUGCCGAAUGAGAGAAUCACAAUCAGAAUGAGAUUCGGAAUCAGAAUCAAGCUUUGACUUUGUGCCCAUCUCGUUGGCUUGGCUUUCAAUUAGGUGUCCAGCAGUCCAGGAGUCCAGGAGUCCAGAAGGGCAGGUGACCAUGUAAGUGUAAGUGGGCCAUUUGACAGGGCCAAAGUUAAAUUCGAAUAUUAAAUGCAACCCCAGAGGGAGAAAGGCAGCAUGGUGUUCAGUUCGGCAUGUCAACUUCAUUUGUUGAAUGACAUAAGUUAUCAACGAAAUUGCUGGAGAACUGACCCCGAGCAAAUUGCGUUGGCGCCCCUUUUAACUUUAUCUGGCAGUCGCAAUGCUGUAUAGUUUUAUCUUGAAUAUUCAACAAGAACAUCGAUUUAAAGACUUUCCUUUGGCUGAUAUACAUCAUUUAGCUGACGAUUUGGAUAUUUAAAGCCCCUUUAAUCAGGUCCUUGGACGAGCAGAUCUCCCUGUGGUGUCGGUGGCCAGGGAACUCUGCUGGGAGACUCGCUUCCUUCGGCCGUAAUUUGCCAUAAAAUAAGCAUAAAUUGGAUCAAUUUACGAAAAGCUCUGUUACAAAUGCACAGCGAGCAGUGGGCCCACAAUAAGAACGCCGCCAUAUAUAGUUACAGUUGCAGUUGCGAUGGAGCAAGUACCAUCUAGCAGAUAUCAUCCACCCAUCCCAUCCUGGCCAGAGUUCCAUGUCAAACGGCGGAGGCUGGGUCCUGGGGUAAUGGCCAUCCAAGGCGGUUGCUCUGCUGACAGCCCUGUGGUUUCUGUCACGCGCAUUGAAUCUGAAGCUGAUUCUCCAGCUGAAGCCGAUGCCUCGGUUGCAUUUCACUUGACGUCCUCUCCCACUUGUCGUCAUCGCUGUCAGUGCCGUUGAGGAGGAGUCCUGCGAGUCCUGCAAGUCCUCCGAGUUGUCCUGGCCGUCCAAGGAGCCUCCGUCAUCCGGCUGCUUAAUGUCAACUCUUGGCGUUUUGUCUUAGCAGCCACAUAAAAAAAUUGAAUUUAUGAUAGGGACUUUGGGAUGUUUUUCGCAUUGUGCUGGCCACGCAGAUUUUGCACCGAUAGCUU